CUCCGGAAUUGCCGAUCAAAAGCUUGAAAUCAGAUCCCACGGUUGUGAUUAUGGCGUCAUGAGAGGUAAUGGGAUCGUAUCAACCUGAAAUUUUAUUACUUUCAAUAUUUGCCACGUCCGCAAUCCCACGUAUCCCAAUUUCCCAUUUAUUUUCAUCUUUCGUGCAUAUUUUCCAUUUUUAAGAUACACGUCGCUGCCUUUCCAAUUCCAUGAUAUUCCAAAAUAUUCGUAAGAUAAAACGACGCUAUAAUAAUAAACACGGAGUGUUGUAACGCGCUCCCUUCCUGCCGUGACAUAAAACGAUAAUAAAAUGUAAGAUAGUUUAUCGAUCGACAGGUUGGCGCUUCUUAGAUGCCCAUCUUUUCGCUGCCCUUCAACAACAAAUUUUAUCUCGCGAUAUACCGCGAUAGGAUUCUCAUGCCGAGCCUUCCCACUUGCAAUUUUCUAACCGAUUUAUAUUCCGUGAAAAACAAUUAAGUGGCUGUAUAUUUCUCAACGACAACCGUAAAUUUCAACACGUCGCUACGAGGAUAGAUGGAUUCACACUGCUACACAGUUUUGUACUGCGUGUUCGUUGUUGCGGUAGAUACGCAGAAUAUACUUAGCUGCGCGUCGCAAGUUACCUGUUUAAUGUGAAGAAAUAUCUACUACGUGGCCGAAUAACAAGAUCACGAUGUAUUAGGAUGGUAACUAAGUGGUUGCGGAUUUUGCCAUUAGGUGGUAAUGACAAACCUCGCAAUCACUUAGUUGCCAACCCAAUAUAAAUACGUAGGGCGCGAUCUGUACAAGUCAGGUGGACAAAAAGAAACGGAAGCUCCGGCGUAUUAUCAUGGAGCGCUGCAGCUUCCUAAACCCUCGCCAAAGAAACCAGCGAAGGAGGAAACGCAGAGCGUGGCGGUAGGCAGAAAAACCUUCGAAACGAGGAGUGAAACAGGUGCCAAGAAAACACGUUCGCUCGUGCGCUCGCGCGUGCAGACAUUAGUCGCCACUGUCGGCAGUCGCGCGCCCUCGUGAAGGUGCGUUUUCACCGACUUCUGCGGGCGCCUUUUUUCCCUCCGCUUUGCGAAUAUUCAAGCGCGGACGAGCGCUGUUUCGUUGCUCGGCGAUCGCACGUCGAACCGGAAAUCCAACGUCUAAGUGCUGUAAAGGCUGGUUCACACACGGCUACAGGAUUAAUCGAGCAAGGCGGACGAGCGGAGCUGAUUGAUUCGCAGAAAAGUAACGUUUUCGUCUUCGUCCACGGUGAUCCUGCAACGCGAAAAGCGUCAAUUCAACUCGCUGCUUGAACUUACUUAAACUACUGGCCGUGUGUGAACCAGCCUUAAGGGCUGCAAUCGCGCGCUUGGGGACCAAGACCAAGUUUAGAUGACUUUGGAAUCGUUGUAGACGAGUUUGCGAACAGAUUCGUGAAAUUCGAUAACUGUUUACGGUAUAACGCUAUCGCCGCUUUGGUGUAAACUCGGACUGAGAAGCCUUUGGAUGUGGAGAAGUCGCUGAAACACAGCAACGAACUGCUACACGUAGCGAGAAACACGUCGAUGAACCAUCGAAAACAGUGUUCUCCUCUUAUGUGAUCCAAGCUCGAACGAACGAAAGCAAAUGAAAAAGACAAAAAGCGAGCAAGAAGAGAAGAAAAAAGAGAAGAGAUAUAUAAGAACCUUCGAAGAGACUGAAGAGUAGAGCGAACAGAUAGAAACAGAGUAAAUGCUACAGCUUAGAGCGAAGAAGGAUAGGACGAGGCCAAGGGAUAAAAAAAGAAAAAGGAAUAGCGUGUUUUCGAGCGGAGAAAAGGAUCAAAGGAGGCUGAGAAGAGAGCAAGAGGCGAGAGACUGGAGGAUCGAAGGUGUUUUUCGGGGCGUGGCGAGGGCCGCGUGAUUACCAGGAGGAUCGGUUAGCGCGGUGAGAGUUCAAAGCAUCAAAGAGGCCCGACCAGCGAGAAAUUGCUUAGGAUUCAUCUGCCGGCACGGGACCCUCCGGACGCGUUUCGUUCUCUUCUCUUCUCUUCUCUUCUCGUUCUCUAUCUGUUCUGCGGCCGGGGUAUUGUGAAUACGCCUGGCACCUUGGACCGCGAUCCGACUCUGCUCGAGAGCACGACUCCUUCACCGUGAUGGGCCUCGCAGCACUCGCGGCGGCAAUAUUUUUGGAGAUCGCUGGAUGGAUGGAUGGAGUUUGUAUAGACCAUCGAUAUUGCCACUUGGUUCGCUUAGGGGCGAUCGUUAGGUAAGACGAGAUGAUGGUUUGCUUCGUGACACUUUGCGGUCGCGAUUCUUGGUAAGAAAUUCAGAUUCAGAAAAAGGACGAUUAGCGAUGAAGUUGACCCGAUGAGUGAUGAAGGAUUUUAAAGGAAGAGGAUACGUAUGACAACGUUGUGAAGCUUUCGAUGGAAUUGCACCAGGUGGUCAACCAACCCAGAUGUUACAACUUAUUCUUCAGAGAGCGUAGCUUAGCUAGGAAAUUGAAAAUAUUCAGCCGUUGAUGAAUCGUUGAAGAGACUUUCAACGCCGAGGAAGCAAAAAGAAGCAAGUGUUCUUAUAAAUAUGAAAACGUGGCCGUUCAUUAGCAGUGCCAUCUAGCGGUUAAUUUUAUGAAACUGCGUAGACAAAAUAAUAAAACCAUUGAAAAUAUUGCAAGA